rnacentral:rRNA from 1 species
AUUGAACGCUGGCGGCAGGCCUAACACAUGCAAGUCGAACGAGUGGCGGACGGGUGAGUAAUGUCUGGGAAACUGCCUGAUGGAGGGGGAUAACUACUGGAAACGGUAGCUAAUACCGCAUACCAUCAGAUGUGCCCAGGUGGGAUUAGCUAGUUGGUGGGGUAACGGCUCACCAAGGCGACGAUCCCUAGCUGGUCUGAGAGGAUGACCAGCCACACGGGAACCGUAGCACGGUUCCAGCUCCUACGUGAGGGAGCAGUGGGGAAAAUUGCACAAUGGGCGGAAGCCCGAGAGAGCCAUGGCGGGUGUAUGAAGAAGGCCUUCGGGGUGGAAAGGACUUUCAGCCGGGAGGCGUUACCCGCAGAAGAAGCACCGGCUAACUCCGUGCCAGCAGCCGCGGUAAUUC